GAUGAACGCUGGCGGCGUGCCUAAUACAUGCAAGUCGAGCGAACAGACGAGGAGCUUGCUCCUCUGACGUUAGCGGCGGACGGGUGAGUAACACGUGGAUAACCUACCUAUAAGACUGGGAUAACUUCGGGAAACCGGAGCUAAUACCGGAUAAUAUAUUGAACCGCAUGGUUCAAUAGUGAAAGACGGUUUUGCUGUCACUUAUAGAUGGAUCCGCGCCGCAUUAGCUAGUUGGUAAGGUAACGGCUUACCAAGGCAACGAUGCGUAGCCGACCUGAGAGGGUGAUCGGCCACCCUGGAGCUGGGACACGGUCCAGGCGACUACGGGAGGCAGCAGUAGGGAAUCGUCCGCAACGGGCGAAAGCAUGACGGAGCAACGCCGCGUGAGUGAUAAAGGUCCUCGGAUCGUGAAACUGUCUUAUUAGGGAAGAACAAAUGUGUAAGUAACUAUGCACGUAUUGACGGUACCUAAUCAGAAAGCCACGGCUAACUACGUG
rnacentral:rRNA from 1 species